GAUGGCGGGGUGCGUACUCCUGCAGCUGGCCUCGGUUCGGUUUGUGCCGGCAGAAGCCUCCCUCACGGGGUUGGUGCCUCUUCAGCCCUUGUAGGGCUUUGCCGGCUGGAAAAGUGGAAGGACACCGAGUUUGUGAAUUACCCUCACCAGUUCGUAAACCGAUGGAAUGUAGAACUAGCAGAGAAAGCCUACUUUACCUCACUGGGAUUACCACAUCAAGUCAGGCCCAUGUAGUUUCCUGUUUCCAAAAUUAGACUUUGUUGAAGUUACCAUCUUCAGAUGAGAUAGAAGCAACCUCCUGUUAAGACAGCUGUGAGAUAAUUGCACUUCAUGCUGGAGCUCCUCCUAAUUCCUAAUGGUUUUCAGUUGGCUCUACCCUUCAGGCAGUGAUACAGUUUUUUGCUUCUAGUCAUUAUAAAGCUAAUAAAUUUUCCAGAAACACCAACUUUUUUUUUUUUUUAAUUUUACUAAUCUUUUGAUCUGAAGAUAUCACUGACUUCUUGUGAAACUGAGUUCAAUUAUUUGUGGUUACCGGCUUUUCUUUGUCUGGAAUUUUGAUUAACAAGAACACAGUCCUUAUCAUUUCAUGUGUAAAGCCAACUCAUCUGAAAAAAAAAAAAGUACUGGGGCUGUUUUUUUGAUUGUGUGAGUAAUAUGCGUAAUCUGAGAACCAAUUCUGAUGGCACCUACAUCUACUGUGCUCAUGCUGCAAUGCUUGCCCUAGCAGUUCUCUUGCUCUGUCUCCUGCCCAUAGCCUCCACCAGGAAGCAUCUGCAAGAGGUACCUCAGAAGGAGGUUAAAAUCAUUAAGGUUGGAAAAGACCUCUGAGAUCAUCUGGUCUAACCAUCCCCUUGCCACCAGUAUCACCAACUAAACCAUGUCACAGGUUAUCUUAACACUUACUUUUAAAGAAUGCGAUCUUUAAAAAACACGCAUGUUCUAUGGUUUCGCCUGAAGAGGAAUAUGACAUACAGCAGAACAAUAAAGGUUAGAAGUUGUAAACCUAAACCUAGAUAACUGUAUCUAACUUGAACAUACCCUGAUGCUAGCAGCUGGAGGAAAAGAGUUGGCUCUGAGCUAUGGAGGUAUAUGCUCUUUACUCAGUUUCCUCCAAUUCCUCUUCUGAAGUAAAAGCCUUAUAGCUCACUUCCUGCCCGAGUGUAACUUUUUGCCCGUUUUAUCUGUGAGCCUUCAAACUUUCAAGAAACAGAAUAAUUCUUUGGAUGUUUGGAGAAGCAAAGGAAAGACAAAUAGUUUUUUAUUUGCUACAAGCAAAGUCUUCAAGGAGCAAUUAAAACCUUGCUGCUCUGUCUCCCAAGGACAGCUUUUGGAAGAAGGGGCCACAGCUUCUGCCACUAUGUGGUGAAGCAGAUGGGCAAAAACAUCACUAGGGAGAAAAGAAAGGAGCUGUCCGUACAGCGCUGCUGCAAAAAAGGGUAUAACAGUGGAGAAGCUGAGAUACUCGUCUGAGUGGAAAAAAUCAAAAAGUUGAGGAGUUGCUGAUAUUUAUGUCAUAGUCCAGAUGAGAAGAAACUAAAUGAAGUUUAAAUUAUUCCAUGGUUCAAUUUACAUUGUUCAAAGCAGCUGGCUGGUUGCUUACAGACAUUUCAGGGGGAGGGUUCCUGUUGUUAACCGACUGAAGUUGGCCUCUGCUGUCACGAGGAUGAUCGAUGAAUGGGUCUCCAUUGGCAGUCCCCAGGCAAUUUCUACCAGGGGAGCCUGGUAGCAAUUCCCACCCGCUGGUUUCAGAUGUACCACCUAGCACCAUCCCGGUAUUGAAUCAGGUGAAGACCCAGGUCACAUCUCUCCUGGAAAGCUAGACACGUGGAGGAGUCACAGUGUUUUCAAGAGAUCCCAUAACCAAGGUGACUGAGAACCAAGAUGUGCUAUGGUCUUGCUGUGGAGUACAUCUGUCUUUCUGGGUAAACGUAGUUAGUCAUUGAUGCCCCAAAACUGAAGGCAAGGCUAUUAGCCAGGAAGUCCGUCUAUACAGUGCUGCUUCGACAGUCCUUCAGGAGUACUAAGCAAGUAUGGUAUGUCUGUGCUUUCACACAGUCUGUCUUCACCAAGCUAUGGAGUGGGUGAGAAGCAUGUUUUGAGCCCUUAUAAUGAACCUUCCCACAAAACGGCCAUGGAUGUAAGAAGCAGAAGGACGAGAUAAGCCUGGUGGAUUCAGAGCUUUCAGCCUGGGGAGGUGCCCAAGGGAGGUGCCCCAGCUCUUUGGCCUGUUUCUAUAUUUUGCACGAGGCAGUCUCUGGGUAAAAUGCAGAAUGACUCUUGGGAAUCGUGUUUAUGCCUCUUCAUGAAGCUGGCAUGUAAUACAAUAGAGAUCUGUGUAUUCAGACCAGAAAGAUAAACACAUCUAUAGAUAAAAGUAGAGGGAAAAGCUAACUUGCAGUGAUCCUACAGCUUUUUUUUUUUUUUUAAUGGAAAAUUAAAUAUUUGUAAAAAGAAAUGAGUGUGAGUGAAUUAAUUUUGGUUAAUAUAAAGUAAAUUUCACUUAAUACAUAGAUAUAAACAUUGAAGGACUAUUUAAUAGUAUGGUAGUAUAUCUGAGCUAAACAUCUGGCUUUUAGCUGGGCAUUAAGAAUGACAGUAUGUUCGCAGGACACCAGAGUAAGCAUUCCAUAAAUAUUUACUACAAACACAUUGUUAAUAUUUGAUUAACAUGAAUGGGCAACAGGCAGAUGUUGUUUUGUUUGUUUGUUUUUCUGUUUAAUGUUGUGACUGUUGUUCAUUUAAGUUACUUUUUUUUUCCCAAGGAAAAGGAUGCAGAAAGAAAGUUUAAGUAGCUUAAAACGAUGAAGUUGUCUUUGCUGCUAGAAGAAUUUAUUUUUAUUUAUUUUUUUUCAGUAAAACGCUAACAUGUGAACACUCUCACGAGAUGAGUGGCAAAUUAGGUAGAUGUCAUGGUGUAAGACUUUCCAUGCAGAUAUGUUGAACUUGUCCAGUAAAACAACAUACCAUUUGACAGAUGAUGGUUUUCAAAAAGAUUACUGCAUUUAUACUGCUGGAUAUGUUAUACUGCUACAUAUGUUCGGAAGAGCCAGAUGAAGUUGAUGCAGUUCCAGCUGCUAAAUUCAAAAAGUUUACUGGGAGGCUCAGCACAUGUAGCAUUUGGAACCGCAGACUUGCUUCUUAGGUACCAGCUAAGUGGGUUCUGUGUACGUUCAAUGCUGAAACACUGCAAUGCGCAGAGUAAUACAUGAGGGCAAUGUUGAUCUUGAUGUCUCGGAUACGCAUUCAUUUGCGGAUACUUAGUCCAUAAACUAAGGACUAUUUCCGCUAGCCAUAGAUAUAUUUUCUUUACGGGCAACUUCAAUGAGCAUUUAAGUUUACAUAGCAAGGAAAUAAAUAACAUUAAUGCAAGCAGCUGUGUUAAACUGAGUAACUUUUCAGAUAAAGAGAGCUGCUUAGUGAAAAUACUGAAAGAUGCUGACAUUUGGUCUCAGGUUGCAAACCUUUCCUUCUGUGUUAAUUAGUGGCACUUGGAAUUGGAAAUAAAGUCCUUGGUUUUGAAUGGGAGAAGGGGUAAAAAAAAUAUUCAUUAAAGAUGAUUUGCAAGUGCAAAAUCUUCUUCACAGCUUCUCAGCUACUGGUUACCACUCCCUGCAGGCCAUGCAUUCCUGAGGCUUGUGGUUCUGGCAGAGCAAUUCCUCAUUAGUGUGGGCUUCACACUCAGCUGUUUUAGGAACAGAAACCAUGUACCUAACAGACAAGUUUUGUGAUAGACUAGGAUUUCUAUAAAAAGAGGGUGGAAACAACUUCAAUUCAUGAAUUAUAUUCUAUCAAAAGAUUGUCUUGACAUUUGCCAUUUAGUAUUGUACCUGUUGGAUUCGUAACUACAACAUUUUUGUAAUUGGACCUAUGGUUCUCUCUAAUGCAGGAUUUCUUUGCUGCGCAGUCACUGUACUGAACACCUUGUAACAUCUUUAAAUGAAAUACAACUUUAUUUUUUAUUGAAUAUCAACAAUAAGUAUAUGAAUGUAUAUGAUUUCCUUUCUAGUGUUCUCAAUAAGUACGUUACAAUCUCAAGUGCGCUUCGUGGAGGUACCUGCAUUCAAAACGAUUCUCCAUGCUGUCAUCUUUUUUAAAAAAGCAAACAAACAGAUUCUUCCUGGUAAAAUGCAUGCAAUCUGGCCAAUAAAAGGCAGGUAGACAACUCUUCUUAGCACUACAGCUUUCAGAGCAGAAAUAAAUUGCUGGGAGGAGUUUUCCUAAAACUAGAGGUACUUGGCCAGCCACUGUUUACAUUUUCAUCAGAGCUCUGAAGCCAGCAUCUUCAGCAACGUAUGAGACAGUGUGAAGGAGCUAUUUUGAAAAAUGGCAAGAUUCACAAUGAUCAGGCACGACAGGCGCUCUCCUCAAGACAUGUUGACACAAGGCUGCUGGGAAAUGGUGAAUUAAACUGUACAUCCAUGUUUUAGGAGUCUUCUGAGAUGCUGUGCCUCUCAGACCCACAGAGGCAUGAUCACAGUAGAAAUGGGAGGUGGAGGGCUUGCAUGUGAAGGCUUGUUUCACAGACCUCACUACCUCUUUGGAGGAAAUAUGUGAAUCCAGAUGUGCGCAACAAAUUGCUUUGGAGAGAAUUCUGAGAACGGCACAUUCACGUUUUUCAUGUUUGUCACUGACUUAAUACGAUUAAUUAAAUGUCAUUUUCAUAUUGGCUCAUGUUAUCUUUCUGACACAGGUACUUAAACAUAAUUCUGGUUAUUCUUUUUAAUAUACCCAAAUCGUUAUUUGCAUAGACUAGAUAAGAGCAAGGACCAUCUGUGCCUGCGUUUGUGUGUGAGUAACAGCGUGCAUGUGUGCACUCACUCACAGGGGGAAGCGUUUGGGAAAUGAUCAGCACAUAGCAACAGAAAACAAUAUUUGUCAUUUCUGUUUAUGAGGUGAACCCCUUUAAAAGUAUAAUGAAGUGACUGAAGAUUGAAGACACACAAUCACGAAACUGUUGAGGUUGGAAGUGAUCUCACUGCUGACCCUGCUGCUCAAGAAGGGAAACUGGAAAAUAUGAACUAAUUCCUGGAGUGGGUCCUUCGCUUUUCCUGUUAAGGAUAACUAGCCCUAUAGAGCUAAGUACUGAGGAAAGUUCUUGAAGCCUUGCAGAAAGGAAGCUGAGCGGAGCUCCUUCUCCCCAUUCCCAUACCUCUCCCAUCGUGUCUCCUGUGGGCAGUGCUCCUGCUUCCUUCUCUUUUCAACACCAUUUGAUUCUUCCAAAGUUUCAUCUUGUUUCCAUCUGACUGGAAGAAAUGAUUGAACUGUAAUCCAGGGCACGAGAGAAAGAAGAGUAGUGACUUGCUCCUGUCCCUGUCUCUCUCAUCAGGCAUCUUGCAAUUGGAUGUAGUGGAUGCCUGGACCUGUCAUGCCCUAGAAACUCUAACAGAUAUUGGUUAUAAAGCAUAAACAUCAGGACUGCAAACUGCACCCACGGUGUCUCAGACCUCUGCUAUGGCAGAGAGGAGAGAUGGCUAUGGCACAACACCCUGCCACAAGCCAAGUCACCUCCACAGGAGAGCUGUCUGCGUUCAAGCUGGUCACUGAUCUCUCUGUUAGGUGAGCACAAGACUCUGCUGGGACAGCAGAGGCUGGUGUUUGUGGAGCUACACAGUGUGGCCAAGGUGGAUGUGGAGCUGCACAUGGUGACUUGGGAUGUAGCGUUGGGAUGUGACAAAUCCGUGAAAUAAGGGGUGACAGAGAAUCAGAGCUUCAGUUUCUUCUCCAGUGCACCUUCUCUGCAGUGAGCAGCAGGUGAAGAGAGAUGUAUGUAAUAUGUAUGUGUGAGCUGUUCCGUGGCCCUGCUGCUGAGGUUAUCAGGAAGUCGCAGCUGGCAACAUAAGAUUUCUAAUAAGGAAACAUGCUAUAGUGUGUUGAAGAUAACAGGAACAUUCUGCUGGGGAAAAAAGCAACCAGCCACAGUACAGAGGUCAUGCAACUUGACCAUGGAAAGAGCAGUUUGUAACAACUUGAAUAGGCAGAGCCUGAGUGCUUCAGGCUGGGAUGAACACUACCAGUUGUGCGCGUGCUCUUACUUCAGCAAUGAGUACGCAGAAAUGAUCACUGCUUAACCAUAUAUUAUUGUACACGUAAGUGUAUAAUAUCAUUUAUGGCAACAAACAAUCCAUGCUUGUGUCUCACUUGUUAUCCUCCCCUGAGGCUUCAUUGUAAUUUGGAUAUAACUGCCUGUCCUAUAUACAGAAUAAAUUAAAAAAAAAAACAACUCUCUUUACAGCCAUUUUUUUUCCUUGAGCAGCAGCAGUAAGAAGGCCUCAAAACUAGAUGAUGAGUCCAUUGUCUUUGCAUUUGUCAUCACCUAUGAUUGUAGUGCCUACAUGAUAAGUAGUUAAUGACAAAUUGUAUGAGGAGUGAAGAUGCAUUGAAAAAUAAUCAUGAUUAAUUUGCUUUUCUUUUACAGAAAGUUAUUACACUCCACAGCCCUGAAGGGAAAAUCAUAGCAAGGGAACAGCUGUUAGGUCUUUAUACAAAUCAGUCUAGCAGCCUGUUAGGUAAGUCUUUGGAAGAGUGGCAGAGGAAGGAAAUAACAGUUACAAUUUUGUACAGCAAAAUCUUGUUAUGAGAGAACUCUUAGACAAGAUAAUGAUAUUGUUCUUUGCCUCAUAAAAUACAAAAGUUAUGAAUUUCCAAGCAUACAUCACAAAGCCAGCUCUUAAUAAGACACGCAGUCUUGUCUCAGCUGCAGUACAGAGCCUAUAAUAGGGAACUACACAGCUAGCAGCCAAGGUAGCUGAGAUGUCAUGUUAACACUAACCUACCUCCUUGGAGAACAAGUAAAGAGCAAAAGGGCGCAUGGUCAGCGUUCUGUGUGAGCACUGUAAUGAAUGGAUGUUGCCAAGGGAAGAGCUGAUUUUUAAGAGCUUUUUUUUUUAUGCUGUUCAUCUGUGGCUCACAACCGUAGCUAGACUGAACUUAACUGAGGUGAGUGCCUCUGCUGGCUGGGGGAUCUGCUCUAUUAACUCUUGCUGUGGUUAGACCCAACUCACAGAUGUACACAUUCUUCUGUAUCAGCCUUUGAAUCUGGCAUUAUCCUUUCAUCCACUUUACAAGUUAAACUUUAGUUCCAGGUAGCAUUCAAUGUGGUAUUCAAUGACCUUGCAAGUUCUUGGAUAUCUAGACUGUAAGAAAAUCCCUGAAGCGACUGGUCUUAUUGAUGAAAUAAGGAGUGAUCCAAUGAUCUGUUUGGGGAAAUGAAGUUCCAGGAAAUAUGUCUAUGAAGAAAUGAAGAACAACAAAUGUCUUUUGUUGAUAGCAUUUUCUUCCCUCUUCUUCCCUGCCCCAGUUUUUGAAGCAGCAGCAUUACAUUCCAUUAGCAUGUUGCUGAAUCUUUCUUUUUAUUAUUUCCUGUCUCAUUUUCUUCUUGAUUAUGCCAAAAUAUAACGCAGUAUGAAAUUUUAUGGAAAAGCAGCAGAUAGAAGUUUAGCAGAGGAAGCUGACAUCUGCAUGCAAAGAGGUGUGUAACGUGCUGUUUACCUUCCCAGGGACAUUUUUGAAGGGUAGCUGCCCUGACCCAGCUCUACACAGUAGAGAUUAAAUCAAAAAAAAAAAGUAACAGCAGAAGAAAAAAAAAAACAAAAAACCACUUCCUCCAUAAAUCAGCCUCCGCUUUCCAAACUGUAACGGGCUUGAUGCCAAAGACUCACAAUUCUUUCUUCCAAAAUUAGCUUUCCCAGUCUCAUAAAACACACCUGCUUCCGAGUGCUGGGGAAGUUUUAAGAACUGUUCCAGUUCCAGCAGAAGAAAAUAUAUCGAGGCCACUGUAGACAAUAUAAUUUACUACUCUAAUUGUUGUCACAGCUAAUUGUUUGCUAAGUCCAUCAGAACACUUUUCCUUCUCCCUCCCUUCUUUCUCUUUAGCUAGGAAUAUACAAUGAUACCUCUUCCCAGAUGGCCUCAUUUUUUAUCCCGUAUGUAAAAUAUCUCUAUUUUUCAGAGUAUUCCUUUGGGCUACCAAUGACUUGGACAGACUGGCAAGUUUUUUUAGUAAUGCUUUGAAAUGAAAUUUCCAGAAAUGCAGCCCUCCCAACUCUCCCAAAUCCCUGUAUCUUCAUUCUUUUCUUCUUAUUUUACUGCUACUUGCUAGCUCAACGGUGUUACAGGGAGAGAUCAAAGCAUUGAAGUGGGAGGCUAGUCCUGGAAAUAUAUGCAAGGAAAGCAAAGGAAGUGUGGGCCAACAGAAGGAAAAGAAAAAGUCCUACCAGAAAUGGAGCAUUUGUCAUACCAACUUUUUAAUUUGCUGGAAACCUAAGAAGAAAAAGCACUGGUGAUCACUCCUUUCUCUGAUUUUGCUUAAGAGCCAGUCUGAGGAAAACCAGUCUCCUCAGGAAGGAAGCUGAACCAACAUUUCUAACCCACAUAGCAAAACUUUGAUUAGUGGGCACAUGGUUAUCUUUUCAUGGAAAUUCUCAUUGCCAUAUUUGAAAGAUUUUUAACUUCAUAUGAAAUUAUUAUAGUUACUUAAGAGAGCAGAGCUCACAUGCCUCUUCCAGAUGUGAUGUGCAGGCUUCUGCAGCACUCUGACGGGUCUGAUUCUCCACCUUACUCAGUGAAAUUUUGAAAAAGUUUCAGCAAAAGAGGUUGAAAGAACCUCCCAUCAGCAUAUCUCAGUGGCCAGCAUAUACUCCUGGGAUUUGAGUGUUGUGUGGAGGACAUUUGAACUUGAGCUCUUUGUAGCCCAAGUAAGUAAUUCCAGGAAAAAAAAAGGUGUCAUCUUACCCUCAGUCUCCUCUUUUGACAGGCAUUGAAAUCCUUUCUAGCUAAGGAAAGAAAGAAAUAUGAUCUGCGGAUUCUGAGUAAAAUUAGGAACUUGUCUGCAUCUCCCUUGAGACAAAGCUUAUUUUGUGUUUGUACUUUGAACGCUGGCCUCUAUGGCACCAAAAAUGCCAUCUCUCUGAAGCUAAUUGGGAGAACAUAGGCAGUACUGGGCGCUAUGUUAAGUCCUCUGUGAAUAUUUACCUCCCUACAGCCAUUUGUGAGAAUAUCUAAUAAAGAUACUCCAUUAAUCAGCAAAAACAGAA